rnacentral:rRNA from 1 species
UACCUGGUUGAUCCUGCCAGUAGCAUAUGCUUGUCUCAAAGAUUAAGCCAUGCAUGUCUAAGUACAAGCCGCUUGACGGCGAAACCGCGAAUGGCUCAAUAAAUCAGUUAUGGUUCCUUAGAUCCAUCCAUCCUACUUGGAUAACUGUGGUAAUUCUAGAGCUAAUACAUGCACUCAAGUCCCGACUCCGGCUUCAGGGCCGCAGAGGAAGGAUGCUUUUAUUAGAUCAAAACCAGUCGGGGCCGCAGCAGCAAUGCCGGGGCCCCGUACCGUUUGGUGACUCUGGAUAACUUCCCGCGGAUCGCACGGUCUCGCACCGGCGACGCGUCUUUCAAAUGUCUGCCUUAUCAACUGUCGAUGGUAGGUUAUGCGCCUACCAUGGUUGCAACGGGUAACGGGGAAUCGGGGUUCGAUUCCGGAGAGGGAGCCUGAGAAACGGCUACCACAUCCAAGGAAGGCAGCAGGCGCGCAAAUUACCCACUCCCGGCACGGGGAGGUAGUGACGAAAAAUAACGAUACGGGACUCUUCCGAGGCCCCGUGAUUGGAAUGAGUACACUUUAAAUCCUUUAACGAGGACCCAUUGGAGGGCAAGUCUGGUGCCAGCAGCCGCGGUAACUCCAGCUCCAAUAGCGUAUAUUAAAGUUGUUGCGGUUAAAAAGCUCGUAGUCGGAAGUCUGUCUUCGGCCGGGUCGCGGUCCUCUGAAUUAAGGGGCUACCGUAAAUGGCUCUGCGCGGUGGGGUGUCAAAGCCUCAUCGGGCUUAACGGUCGGACAACACCGUCGGAGCGCGGGUGCGGUGGACCAUGGAAAGAGUGGGGGCUUCGGCUGCCGGGUCCAAGGACCCCAUCCCCCGCCGUAAUCGUCCGGGGUGCCUUUAACCGGGUGUCUCGGGCGGCCGACACUGUUUACUUUGAACAAAUUAGAGUGCUCAAAGCAGGUGCAUCCCACGCCUGAAUAUCUCAGCAUGGAAUGAUAAAAGAGGACCUCGGUCUUAUUUUGCUGGUCUUUUAUUCUUUAGACCCGAGGUAAUGGUCAAUAGAGACAGACGGGGGCAUCCGUACUGCGGCGACAGAGGUGAAAUUCUUGGACCGCCGCAAGACGAACAACAGCGAAGGCAUUUGCCAAGAAUGUUUUCCUUGAUCAAGAACGAAAGUUAGAGGUUCGAAGGCGAUCAGAUACCGCCCUAGUUCUAACCAUAAACGAUGCCAACCAGCGAUCCGCCGGUGUUACUCCCAUGACUCGGCGGGCGGCUUCCGGGAAACCAAAGUCUUUGGGUUCCGGGGGAAGUAUGGUUGCAAAGCUGAAACUUAAAGGAAUUGACGGAAGGGCACCACCAGGAGUGGAGCCUGCGGCUUAAUUUGACUCAACACGGGAAACCUCACCAGGCCCGGACACUGGAAGGAUUGACAGGUUGAGAGCUCUUUCUUGAUUCGGUGGGUGGUGGUGCAUGGCCGUUCUUAGUUGGUGGAGCGAUUUGUCUGGUUAAUUCCGAUAACGAACGAGACUCUAGCCUGCUAAAUAGGUGGCGGGUUUUAAAAGAAAUUGAAACAGGGGGUUCGAGCCGUGGGGAUCCGGUGUUUGUUUUGGCGUUGGCCGGUACGGGGUCGCUUAUUUUCUUUUGCUUGGCGCGUUUGGCUUCGGCCCGGCGUUUGUUGGCACGGCGGAGGCGGGCGGCUACCGGCCGGCUCUCGUCAUGGCUUGCACCCCUCGCGAUACUCGGGCCCUCGCGUCCGUCACAGCUCUUCUUAGAGGGACAAGCGGCGUCCAGCCGCGUGACAGUGAGCAAUAACAGGUCUGUGAUGCCCUUAGAUGUCCUGGGCCGCACGCGCGCUACACUGAAGGAAUCAGCGUGUUUCACUCUCCCUGUCCGAAAGGACCGGGUAACCGCUGAACCUCCUUCGUGGUUGGGAUUGGGGACUGCAAUGAUCCCCAUGAACCAGGAAUCCCUAGUAGGCGCGGGUCACUAGCCCGCGUCGAUUACGUCCCUGCCCUUUGUACACACCGCCCGUCGCUACUACCGAUUGAAUGAUUUAGUGAGGCCUUCGGACGGGCCCGUCGGGGUGCCUUUCGCUCGGGGGGCAACUCUCGGGUGCGAGCUCCUAUUCACGGCGGGACUGAAAGAUGGUCGAACUUGAUCCUUUAGAGGAAGUGAAAGUCGUAACAAGGUUUCCGUAGGUGAACCUGCAGAUGGAUCAUUA